AACGCCCGAAGCCAGUGGCCUAACCGCAAGGGAGGAGCUGUCGAAGGUGGGUCGGCGAUUGGGUG
rnacentral:rRNA from 1 species